rnacentral:rRNA from 1 species
UAGUCAUAUGCUUGUCUCAAAGAUUAAGCCAUGCAUGUCUCAGUGUAAACUUUUAAACAGUGAAACUGCGAAUGGCUCAUUAAAACAGUUAUAGUUUAUUUGGUAAUCACUUUUACAUGGAUAACCGUGGGAAUUCUAGGGCUAAUACAUGCGUACCCCUCGGGGUUGUGUUUAUUAGAAUAAAACCAUCACUACAGCAAUGUAGUAUAGUUGGAAUAAUAAUAACCGUUCGGACCGCACGCUUUAUGUGGCGGUAAACCAUUCAAGUUUCUGACCU